rnacentral:rRNA from 1 species
UACGGGGGGGGUAAGCGUUGUUCGGAAUUACUGGGCGUAAAGGGCUCGUAGGCGGCCAACUAAGUCAUACGUGAAAUCCCUCAGCUUAACUGGGGAACUGCGUGUGAUACUGGAUGGCUUGGAUUUGGGAGAGGGAUGCGGAAUUCCAGGUGUAGCGGUGAAAUGCGUAGAUAUCAGGAGGAACACCAAUGGCGAAGGCAGCUCGCUGGGACGGUACUGACGCUGAGACGCGAAAGCGUGGGGAGCAAACAGG